AGGAAGGAGAAGUCGUAACAAGGUUUCCGUAGGUGAACCUGCGGAAGGAUCAUUGUCGAGACGCGAAGAGUAUACGAGCGAUUUGAAAAACCCGUUAUAUGUGCGAACGAUCUUUCUCUAUUGUUUCCCUUGAAGCUCCUUUGAGGUGAGAGGGCACGAUGAGGGACGGAUGAACAACAAUCCGGUGCAGCAACGCACCAAGGGAAUAUUGAAAUGCGCGAGCUUUGCGUUGGGCUCAGUGCACGCCAUGCGGAUGAACAUGACUCUCGACAAUGGAUAUCUUGGCUCUUGCAUCGAUGAAGAGCGCAGCGAAAUGCGAUACGUGGUGCGAAUUGCAGAAUCCCGUGAACCAUCGAGUCUUUGAACGCAAGUUGCGCCCGAGGCCAGUCGGCCAAGGGCACGUUCGCCUGGGCGUCAAGCGUUGCGUCGCUCCGUGUCACUUGUCUCGCCUAAGGGCAUGUCGGACGAGGCUCGGAUGUGUAGGGUGGCCCGUCGUGCCUGUUGGUGCGGCGGGUUGAAGAGCGGGUUUUGUCUCAUUGGCCGCGAACAACAAUGGGUGGGUGUAGGCUCUGAGCGUAGCCUGUGUUGUCUCGUGCUGGCGCGAGGGAUGGAUUGUGCCUUUGAUGUGAUCUCGAACCAUUCGUCGCUUGACAUGUGAUGGCUUGGAAUGCGACCCCAGGAUGGGCGAGGCCACCCGCCGAGUUUAAGCAUAUCAAUA
rnacentral:rRNA from 1 species